CUUUGUAUUUGAUCUUCUGGACAACUUAAUCAGAGGACGGCUUAAUUUCUGUCGAUGUCCUCUGGAAAGAAAAAUAUCAAUCCAUUAUUUAAAUUGCGCGUGAGCCCCGACUUCCUGCCGUCCGUUUCAAAAUAAGAGUCUCGCUAUCUUAAGCGUCCAACGUGUGUACCGCCAGAACAAACCUUACAGUGUGUGUGUGUGUGUGUGUGUGUGCGCGCUAUCAAUGCUAGUUUGUGUGCUGCUCCUGUGGCAGCUUUAUUAGGCUAAAUGUAAUGUUCAAGUACCAUAGUAUUCUUAUGUCGGUUUCGCAUCUCUUCUGUCUCUCCCUCCUUUUAUCUCUCCAAGCUCUCUCCAUCCGUCCCUCCCUCUUCUCUUUUGAAUCCCCCUCUUUCCUUCCAUCUUUUUCUCCCUCCAAGCUCCCUUUCUCUCUCUCCAAGCUCCCGCUCUUCCGCCUUGUCUUGGUCUCUCUCCCUCCCUCCUUCUCUGUCUCUUUAAACUCCCUCUCUUCCUACCUCACUAUCCAAGUUCCCUCCCUCCCUGUGUCCCUCUCUCUUUUUGUCCUCUGUGCCUUCCUUAGGAAAAUUGAUCAUCACCGGUCGAAGAAUACCAGAGCUGAUGGAGCGUACGGGCAGACUCCUGAUGACAGGUGCAGCUGUGGAGGCUGGAAAACUAUUUCCAGGGUUUCCUUGACGACAGGGACCAGAUAACGACCACAGGACGUGGAGAGAUAGAGAUGUCAUUCCGUGGCUCAGUGCACCUGCACUGCUUUGCUCCCUCCAGCGCAGACGACGAGGAGCCUCCGGAUAUCAACCACAAAGAGGAAGAAUUAGUUUCAUAGAUAAUCUAGAACAUCUGAUACAAGCCGCAAUAAAUCAAUUUAAUGUUAAA